rnacentral:rRNA from 1 species
UACGUAGGGUGCGAGCGUUGUCCGGAAUUACUGGGCGUAAAGAGCUCGUAGGUGGUUUGUCGCGUUGUUCGUGAAAACUCACAGCUCAACUGUGGGCGUGCGGGCGAUACGGGCAGACUGGAGUACUGCAGGGGAGACUGGAAUUCCUGGUGUAGCGGUGGAAUGCGCAGAUAUCGGGAGGAACACCAAUGGCGAAGGCAGCUCUCUGGGACGGUACUGACGCUGAGACGCGAAAGCGUGGGGAGCGAACAGG